rnacentral:rRNA from 1 species
GAUGAACGCUGGCGGCGUGCCUAAUACAUGCAAGUCGAGCGAACAGAUAAGGAGCUUGCUCCUUUGACGUUAGCGGCGGACGGGUGAGUAACACGUGGGUAACCUACCUAUAAGACUGGGAUAACUUCGGGAAACCGGGGCUAAUGCAGGAUAACAUGUUGAACCGCAUGGUUCUACAGUGAAAGGCGGCUUUGCUGUCACUUAUAGAUGGAUCCGCGCCGUAUUAGCUAGUUGGUGAGGUAACGGCUCACCAAGGCAACGAUACGUAGCCGACCUGAGAGGGUGAUCGGCCACACUGGAACUGAGACACGGUCCAGACUCCUACGGGAGGCAGCAGUAGGGAAUCUUCCGCAAUGGGCGAAAGCCUGACGGAGCAACGCCGCGUGAGUGAUGAAGGUCUUCGGAUCGUAAAACUCUGUUAUUAGGGAAGAACAAAUGCGUAAGUAACUGUGCGCGUCUUGACGGUACCUAAUCAGAAAGCCACGGCUAACUACGUG